rnacentral:rRNA from 1 species
ACAUGCAAGUCGAACGGCAGCACGGUGGUAGCAAUACCAUGGGUGGCGAGUGGCGGACGGGUGAGGAAUACAUCGGAAUCUACCUUUUUGUGGGGGAUAACGUAGGGAAACUUACGCUAAUACCGCAUACGUCCUACGGGAGAAAGCGGGGGAGCGCAAGCGCCUCGCGCGGAAAGAUGAGCCGAUGUCCGAUUAGCUAGUUGGCGGGGUAAAAGCCCACCAAGGCGACGAUCGGUAGCUGAUCUGAGAGGAUGAUCAGCCACACUGGAACUGAGACACGGUCCAGACUCCUACGGGAGGCAGCAGUGGGGAAUAUUGGACAAUGGGCGCAAGCCUGAUCCAGCCAUGCCGCGUGGGUGAAGAAGGCCUUCGGGUUGUAAAGCCCUUUUGUCCGGAAAGAAAAGCACGGGAUUAAUACCCUCGUGUGAUGACGGUACCGGAAGAAUAAGCACCGGCUAACUUCGUGCCAGCAGCCGCGGUAAUACGAAGGGUGCAAGCGUUACUCGGAAUUACUGGGCGUAAAGCGUGCGUAGGUGGUGCGUUAAGUCUGUCGUGAAAUCCCCGGGCUCAACCUGGGAAUGGCGAUGGAUACUGGCGCGCUAGAGUGAGGUAGAGGAGAGUGGAAUUCCCGGUGUAGCAGUGAAAUGCGUAGAGAUCGGGAGGAACAUCAGUUGCGAAGGCGGCUCUCUGGAC